UGGUGGGGUGACUUGUCUGCUAAAUUGCGAUAACGAACGAGACCUUAACCUGCUAAAUAGCCCGCAUUGCUCCGGCAGUGCGCUGGCUUCUUAGAGGGACUUUCGGCUCAAGCCGAAGGAAGUUUGAGGCAAUAACA
rnacentral:rRNA from 1 species